AGGAAAAACCCCUACAUAAACAAAUACAUGGGCGCAGACAUUUUGGACACCCAAAGUUGUGCGGAGGAGAAAAUGCUAGCUGGCGCGUGAUUGGUCAAUAAGAGAAAAGACUUGUUAUGUAUUUGACAAGUGAAAUAAAGUUGAUAAAAAUCUCAUAUCAAGACUUGGGUUUCUUUGAGGUAAAUAGGAGUUACAGCAAUGCAUUAUCAAGAAGGAAGAGAUUAAUGAACCCUACCCUCUUACAAUGAACAACACAUGGACACUCUCGGGAUGAUCCCUUUGCUUUCAUUAAGAGUUCCAAGAUGUUGGUCUGAUUGACUGGGGUGUGAAAUGUAACAGCCAAUGGUGUAC